GACGAACGCUGGCGGCGUGCUUAACACAUGCAAGUCGAACGGAAAGGCCCUGCUGUUGUGGGGUGCUCGAGUGGCGAACGGGUGAGUAACACGUGAGUAACCUGUCCUUGACUUUGGGAUAACUUCAGGAAACUGGGGCUAAUAUCGGAUAGGAGCUCCUGUUGCAUGGUGGGGGUUGGAAAGUUUCGGCGGUUGGGGAUGGACUCGCGGCUUAUCAGCGUGUUGGUGGGGUAGUGGCUUACCAAGGCUUUGACGGGUAGCCGGCCUGCGAGGGGGACCGGCCACAUUGGGAAUGAGAUACGGCCCAGGCUCCUACGGGAGGCAGCAGUGGGGAAUAUUGCACAAUGGGCGGAAGCCUGAUGCAGCAACGCCGCGUGCGGGAUGACGGCCUUCGGGUUGUAAACCGAUUUCGCCUGUGACGAAGCGUGAGUGACGGUAAUGGGUAAAGAAGCACCGGCUAACUACGUG
rnacentral:rRNA from 1 species